rnacentral:tRNA from 1 species
GCCUUCGGGGUGUAAUGGUGGCACAUUCGGCGGGUAUUCGAAAGGUCCAGGUUCGAGUCCCGACAAGGGCA